GGAGGCGGACGAACAGGGCAGGGGGGGACCUGCGGGCCACAGACACACACACAGAGAAGGGAGGGGAGAAAAAAACACAGAAAGAAAUAAAAUGAACAAAAAAACCACGGCAAAACACGGACAAAGAGACAAUAAAAGUCGAGCCGGGGCACGAGGGAAGGCCGCCUGCCCCAGCGGGGAGGCCCUGCCUGAGGGGCGGCCGACUGCACGUAUCUGACCCCAUUACCUGCUGCCCCUCGGGCUGUUACUGUCCUUUAAAACUCCUAUCCUCCUAAUAUCCAUCAUUUAAAACUCGCAUCCGUCAGGUUUUCUGUUGGGCUUUUCGGUUUGUUUUGGUUUUGUUAAGGUUUUGACAUUGUCGAGAGCUCCUGAUCCGAGAUGCGCUUUGUUCCCACGACGUGGGCGCUCACGGUCAAUGAGCCGUACUCACUGAUGCGGCCGCAUUUUACUAACGGGAAAGCUUCGCACCCGACGUAUUGUGAGGAUUUGGCAUUCAGAGAUCAAGAGCUGAUUUAAAACGGGUGUAUUCAUGCUAGUGUGAAUAGAAGAGCUGCCAGAAAUACAGAACAUUCACAGAGAUACUUCUAAAGAAGAACUAAAGACCCUGAUCUGCAAGCAGCGUGCAUACCCAGCUGCCUUUCAUCAGUCCACAUGUGUGUCAGCCAAAUGCCUAUGAGUGGAGAAGCUCUGACUAAACAGCACUUGAGGCACUUCUGCAGACAUUACAGCAGUUCCACCACCCUUUGUGAGCCACCCUGGCUUCAGUUUUGUCCUAAUUUUUACCAUUAAGCUAUCUGUGUCUGCAUUCAUAUGAGCUAUGUUUUCCCCAUACUCUUUUAAAUUUUGGUUGAGCAGCACUUAUAUACACAGAAAAGAUGCUCUUUUUUCUCUAGGACAAUUUUUCAAGUGAUGCUUUUAAUUAAAAAAAAACAACAUAAGAACAAAAAUAAAAAAAAAACUUGAAAAGUCUAGAAGUAAAAAAGUCUUUUCAAAAUGUAUGACUUUUUGAUUCCAUAUAUGAUCAGUUACCUUGGGUUCAUAAAGUGUAAAAAUCAAAGGAGAAAGCAAAAUAAAUGUAAAUAAUUCUGGGGAGAUUCCUGAGCUCGUGGAUGGUCAGUAAAUUUGAUCACUCCAGUUGUGGAGGCUUCUGUGCUCACUAAGUGUCUUGCUACUUAACCUGCUGGUUCCUUGAUUUUUAACAUUAAAAAGAGUAUUAUCAGAGAGACAAGCCUGUCUGUUGCACAACCCUGCUGAGAUAAAGAGCCCUCCUAUAUAUUCUCAAAAAACUGAAAAGUCACUAAUACCACUCAAACUGAGUGGAGCCUAGAAUCAAGGCUUCCCACUUCCUGGGGAAAGGUUCCAAUUCCUAAAUUAUUUUAGAAGAGAUCAGUGUUAUCACCGCAGAUCAUCAGAAGAUGGCCUGAAGGACUGACACUCAAAUGUUUCUGAUUAGUUGCACUGGAAGACUUUAGGAAAUUCAUGUAGGAGAAACGUAGGAGAUACUCAAGCUUACUGUGCCCUGUCCAGGUGGGAAGGAAUUCCAUAUGAUAAGUUGAUUAGAACUUCCCCUGCUUUUAUUCAAAGCCAUCUACUUUCUUCCACUUCUAUUUAUCCACACAAAACCCAAAAUUCGGAUGGCUUUUAGUGUAUAGACUGGUUUUCUCCUAAACUGCUUGGGACCCGAUUUCCCAAAUAUCACUAGAUUUGUUGGACUCCUAAGCUAUGUGUGAUUAAAGAUGCAUAAAAGCCACCAUUUGCAGAUCUUAGUCCUUAGAGGAAGGAACCUAAAUUCACAUUUCCGUUCUUAAAUUGAAAUGCUGAAGUCAUCAAGUGAGAGGCCCUGACACAAAGCACAUCAGGGUUUUCUUGUUAUUUUGGAGUUGAUUUCUUUCAUAGUUGCAGAGAACCAAGAACUUAUGGUGAAGACAGUAAGAAGUUUUUGGUGUUUUUAUUUCUAUAAUCAAACAAACAGUGGUAUGCCUAAGAGGCAAUGCUUGAAAUUUCUAACAGACAUAAUCAUAAACAGAGAAUACUUCCAAAUAUAUCUCAAACUAUCAAGAGUUACCUGCACACAGACUUUGUACAGAAAAGAUGAGUUGUAUUUUUAAUGUUCUUGGCAGAGCAAAGCUACUGUCUAUUGCUGUGCCUUUGGGCAUAAACUAACCCACCACAUGCCCAUGGGAAAGCAAUACACAUUUGGAGAUGCUUUAAGAAAAACAAAAGCUCAUUGCUCCCUGUCACAGUUUAUACAGAAGCUACAGUAAAACUCAUUUACGUUUGGGAUUCUAGCCAUGGAUGGGUAAAGGUGCUGCUGACAA